AGAGUUUGAUCAUGGCUCAGAUUGAACGCUGGCGGCAGGCCUAACACAUGCAAGUCGAACGGUAACAGGAAGCAGCUUGCUGCUUCGCUGACGAGUGGCGGACGGGUGAGUAAUGUCUGGGAAACUGCCUGAUGGAGGGGGAUAACUACUGGAAACGGUAGCUAAUACCGCAUAAUGUCGCAAGACCAAAGAGGGGGACCUUAGGGCCUCUUGCCAUCGGAUGUGCCCAGAUGGGAUUAGCUUGUUGGUGGGGUAACGGCUCACCAAGGCGACGAUCCCUAGCUGGUCUGAGAGGAUGACCAGCCACACUGGAACUGAGACACGGUCCAGACUCCUACGGGAGGCAGCAGUGGGGAAUAUUGCACAAUGGGCGCAAGCCUGAUGCAGCCAUGCCGCGUGUAUGAAGAAGGCCUUCGGGUUGUAAAGUACUUUCAGCGGGGAGGAAGGGAGUAAAGUUAAUACCUUUGCUCAUUGACGUUACCCGCAGAAGAAGCACCGGCUAACUCCGUGCCAGCAGCCGCGGUAAUACGGAGGGUGCAAGCGUUAAUCGGAAUUACUGGGCGUAAAGCGCACGCAGGCGGUUUGUUAAGUCAGAUGUGAAAUCCCCGGGCUCAACCUGGGAACUGCAUCUGAUACUGGCAAGCUUGAGUCUCGUAGAGGGGGGUAGAAUUCCAGGUGUAGCGGUGAAAUGCGUAGAGAUCUGGAGGAAUACCGGUGGCGAAGGCGGCCCCCUGGACGAAAACUGACGCUCAGGUGCGAAAGCGUGGGGAGCAAACAGGAUUAGAUACCCUGGUAGUCCACGCCGUAAACGAUGUCGACUUGGAGGUUGUGCCCUUGAGGCGUGGCUUCCGGAGCUAACGCGUUAAGUCGACCGCCUGGGGAGUACGGCCGCAAGGUUAAAACUCAAAUGAAUUGACGGGGCCCGCACAAGCGGUGGAGCAUGUGGUUUAAUUCGAUGCAACGCGAAGAACCUUACCUGGUCUUGACAUCCACGGAAGUUUUCAGAGAUGAGAAUGUGCCUUCGGGAACCGUGAGACAGGUGCUGCAUGGCUGUCGUCAGCUCGUGUUGUGAAAUGUUGGGUUAAGUCCCGCAACGAGCGCAACCCUUAUCCUUUGUUGCCAGCGGUCCGGCCGGGAACUCAAAGGAGACUGCCAGUGAUAAACUGGAGGAAGGUGGGGAUGACGUCAAGUCAUCAUGGCCCUUACGACCAGGGCUACACACGUGCUACAAUGGCGCAUACAAAGAGAAGCGACCUCGCGAGAGCAAGCGGACCUCAUAAAGUGCGUCGUAGUCCGGAUUGGAGUCUGCAACUCGACUCCAUGAAGUCGGAAUCGCUAGUAAUCGUGGAUCAGAAUGCCACGGUGAAUACGUUCCCGGGCCUUGUACACACCGCCCGUCACACCAUGGGAGUGGGUUGCAAAAGAAGUAGGUAGCUUAACCUUCGGGAGGGCGCUUACCACUUUGUGAUUCAUGACUGGGGUGAAGUCGUAACAAGGUAACCGUAGGGGAACCUGCGGUUG
rnacentral:rRNA from 1 species